AUGGCUUGUAAUGCUUCGGGCCGGUGUUACAGCCAUGGAAGACAUCAAGUUUCCAACCAAGUGUGGGUGCUGCAGUCAUACCAAUAUAUGGGACAGGCGGCUUUUCACCCUGUGGGUUUGGGUCAGAAAGGGUUUGACCUUCCCAGGGAGCACUGUGCCCUGAUACGCACCGCGUCCCAUCCGCAGUGCAGCCCCAGUGCCUGCGGUGCAGCUCUGGGCACGGGGCAGCAGGUCCCUGAUGCUCUGCCAGCUGUGGGGCUUUGGAACAACCGCUCCGGGGCUCUGCAUCUCAGACCGAACACAACCGCAUCAUGCAGUGGGAACACCACCAAGACGGCUCUGCAGAUCCCCCGGUGCCAGGCUCCCAUCUACGCGUGGUUAAGCAGUGCGAGAAGGAAGACCUUGCUUUCUCCUCUCCCCCACGGGGCAGCUCCAAUGGGCACAGCAGGGGCAGCUCCACUGGGGCUGGCACCGCUCCGUGCCCCGUCCCCAUCCCAGGGCAGCCUGAACCUCGCCGCCCCUUCUCUCCCCUCUGCAAAGCUGUGUGCUAACGCCAACCUCAUGUUUUCCAGUUCCUCUAGAUUUACCCCCACUCUUUUUUUUUUUUUUUUUAAAUCUCCCCGCUUUCCUUCCUUCCUUUUUUUUUUUUUUUUUUUUUUUCUUCCUGGGUUAAAAAUAAUCAAGUUUCUGGGAAGCAGCAACUCCUGCUGCGCUGCCUCCCCGCACUCGCCCCGGAGAAUAGCUCAGCCCGGCGCUGGGCUGCGGCCCCUCCUCGCUGCUCGCUCCUUCCUCCUCCCCACCCCCUACAGGGAUCUGACUAAUAUGCUCGGGCUCUGCUUGCCAGCUCAGCUGGAAAGGAAUUUAACCGUUGCGUGGUCUGGAGGGAAGAGCGGGGAGCCCAGAGCUGCCCCGCAGAGCUGCGACCCUCCUCGCAUCUCUCCUGGUUGGCUCCGUGCCUGGCCACGUUGCCCCGUGCGUGGGGAAGAGGGAUGGGGAAGGAGGGAUGCUCCAUCCCAGCACCCAGCAGCCCCAUCCCGGAGCCCCCGGCGGAUGCAAGGAUCUCCUCCGUAUGUUCCCUGCCUUCUGCUGGGGGCAAAAUGCAGCACCCUGGGUGCUGUGCUCCCAACCAGCAGGGAUCAUGGAAAUGCCUCCCCCACCCACUUGUGCUUCCUGUGCACCAAAACCCCAAAGCAGCGCAGCACGCUGCUCAUCCCAGGCCUCAGCGCUGGGCGGUGGUGA
rnacentral:lncRNA from 1 species